GAUGAAGAACGUAGUUAAAUGCGAUACGUAAUGUGAAUUGCAGAAUUCAGUGAAUCAUCGAAUCUUUGAACGCACAUUGCGCCUGCCAGCACUCUGGCAGGCAUGCCUGUUCGAGCGUCAUUUCAACCAUCAAGCCCUAGGCUUGCGUUGGAGCCCUGCGGCUGCCGCAGGCCCCUAAAAGCAGUGGCGGGCUCGCUAUCACACCGAGUGCAGUAGAUUACUCUUCGCUCAGGGCGUGUGGCGGGUUCCAGCCGUGAAACCCCCUACUUCUCAAGGUUGACCUCGGAUCAGGUAGGAAUACCCGCUGAACUUAAGCAUAUCAAUAAGCGGAGGA
rnacentral:misc_RNA from 1 species